rnacentral:misc_RNA from 1 species
GAUGAAGAACGUAACGAAAUGCGAUAAGUAGUGUGAAUUGCAGAAUUCAGUGAAUCAUCGAAUCUUUGAACGCACAUUGCGCCCUUUGGUAUUCCAAAGGGCAUGCCUGUUCGAGCGUCAUUUGUACCCUCAAGCUUUGCUUGGUGUUGGGCGUCUUGUCUCUAGCUUUGCUGGAGACUCGCCUUAAAGUAAUUGGCAGCCGGCCUACUGGUUUCGGAGCGCAGCACAAGUCGCACUCUCUAUCAGCAAAGGUCUAGCAUCCAUUAAGCCUUUUUUUCAACUUUUGACCUCGGAUCAGGUAGGGAUACCCGCUGAACUUAAGCAUAUCAAUAAGCGGAGGA